CUCGCUGUGAUCUAGGUGGUUAUGAUAUCAGGCUUUCACCCUGGCUACCCGGGUUCGAGUCCCGGCAGCGAGG